rnacentral:misc_RNA from 1 species
GAUGAAGAACGCAGCGAAAUGCGAUAAGUAAUGUGAAUUGCAGAAUUCAGUGAAUCAUCGAAUCUUUGAACGCACAUUGCGCCCGCCAGUAUUCUGGCGGGCAUGCCUGUUCGAGCGUCAUUUCAACCAUCAAGCCCCCGGCUUGUGUUGGGGACCUGCGGCUGCCGCAGGCCCUGAAAACCAGUGGCGGGCUCGCUAGUCACUCCGAGCGUAGUAAUACAUCUCGCUCAGGGCGUGCUGCGGGUUCCGGCCGUUAAAAAGCCUUAUUUACCCGAGGUUGACCUCGGAUCAGGUAGGAAGACCCGCUGAACUUAAGCAUAUCAAUAAGCGGAGGA